rnacentral:pre_miRNA from 1 species
GAUGUACUCCCUCCGUCCCAAAAUUCUUGUCUUACAUUUGUCUAGAUACGGAUGUACCUAAUACUAAAACAUGACUUGAUACAUCCGUAUUUAGACAAAUCUAAGACAAGAAUUUUAGGACGGAGGGAGUACAUG